rnacentral:rRNA from 1 species
AUUGAACGCUGGCGGCAUGCCUUACACAUGCAAGUCGAACGGUAACAGGUUAAGCUGACGAGUGGCGAACGGGUGAGUAAUGUAUCGGAACGUGCCCAGUCGUGGGGGAUAACUGCUCGAAAGAGCAGCUAAUACCGCAUACGACCUGAGGGUGAAAGCGGGGGAUCGCAAGACCUCGCGCGAUCGGAGCGGCCGAUAUCAGAUUAGGUAGUUGGUGGGGUAAAGGCCUACCAAGCCUACGAUCUGUAGCUGGUCUGAGAGGACGACCAGCCACACUGGGACUGAGACACGGCCCAGACUCCUACGGGAGGCAGCAGUGGGGAAUAUUGCGCAAUGGGCGAAAGCCUGACGCAGCGACGCCGCGUGGGUGAUGAAGGCCUGGUCGUAAAGGACCCUCGUCGCAGGGAAGGAAUAAGCAUCGGUAUAAUAACG